rnacentral:sRNA from 1 species
GGCUUUAGAUCGCUGAAUUUACAGUUAUUUUUAUAGUUAAACUAUAAACUACUGUAAAACGGGGGAACCAAUCUUUUGGGGUGAAUUUUGCUCUAUUGCAAAAAGGGAUACUCCAAUCCCUAAUCCGACAGCUAACCCCGUAAGCGUCAUGUCACUGGAGAG